GACGUAGGGUGCAAGCGUUGUCCGGAUUUAUUGGGCGUAAAGAGCUCGUAGGCGGCUCGUCGCGUCGACCGUGAAAACCUGAGGCUUAACUUCAGGCUUGCGGUCGAUACGGGCGGGCUAGAGUUCGGUAGGGGAGACUGGAAUUCCUGGUGUAGCGGUGAAAUGCGCAGAUAUCAGGAGGAACACCGGUGGCGAAGGCGGGUCUCUGGGCCGAUACUGACGCUGAGGAGCGAAAGCGUGGGGAGCGAACAGG
rnacentral:rRNA from 1 species